UACGUAGGGUGCAAGCGUUAAUCGGAAUUACUGGGCGUAAAGGGCUCGUAGGUGGCCAACUAAGUCAGACGUGAAAUCCCCAGGCUCAACUUGGGAACUGCGUCUGAUACUGGAUGGCUUGAAUUCGGGAGAGGGAUGCAGAAUUCCAGGUGUAGCGGUGAAAUGCGUAGAUAUCUGGAGGAAUACCGGUGGCGAAGGCGGCAUCCUGGACCGAUAUUGACACUGAUGAGCGAAAGCUAGGGGAGCAAACGGG
rnacentral:rRNA from 1 species